GCCGCGGUGGCGGAACUGGCAGACGCGCAUGUUUCAGGUACAUGUGGGGUCACACCCGUGGAGGUUCAAUUCCUCUCCGCGGCA
rnacentral:tRNA from 5 species